AAUAGUUUUAUGUCACAUCAGUUCUCUUAUCCUGAAUUUUAGAAUUUUUAUCUUGAAAAAAAUCAAAUCCAAAUUAAAAUCCUAAAAUUCAGGAUAAGAAUACUGAUGUGGCAUAAAACUAUU
rfam:Gossypium arboreum cultivar AKA8401 contig_19301_1, whole genome shotgun sequence.